UACGAAGGGGGCUAGCGUUGCUCGGAAUCACUAGGCGUAAAGGGUGCGUAGGCGGGUCUUUAAGUCGAGGGUGAAAUCCUGGAGCUCAACUCCAGAACUGCCUUUGAUACUGAAGAUCUUGAGUUCGGGAGAGGUGAGUGGAACUGCGAGUGUAGAGGUGAAAUUCGUAGAUAUUCGCAAGAACACCAGUGGCGAAGGCGGCUCACUGGCCCGAUACUGACGCUGAGGCACGAAAGCGUGGGGAGCAAACAGG
rnacentral:rRNA from 1 species